GCGGCGGCUGGUUGAUGGGGUGGUACGUGGCGGGUAUCAGCCGCCGUAGAGGAUCGACUUCGGGUCGCUCGAAGCGCUCGGCCCGGAUGCAGUCGUACC
rnacentral:tRNA from 1 species